AGAAGAAGAAGCGAAUGUGGCGCGAAUCUGUAUUUUUCCACCCAUCAUCAAGCCAACCGCCAGAUUACAGAAAGCUCUUCACGUCAGAAAGCGAAAGCGUCAUAAGCAGCUGUGUGAAGCAAUGCUAUACGCAGGGGCUGUUUGGGUGGAGAAUGGGAAGCAGAUGGAAGAAGUUUUGCCAUUGAACUGGAUCGACACAGAGACCAAAGUGUAAACCGACAGGAGUGUGAAAAAUAUAAUUACACCUCAGCUCAAACCGAAGAGGAGGACACAGUCAGUCAAAAGAGAAUGAAGAAAAUAAGGACAUUUGAAGAUUAUGUUCAAGAGGAUACAGUCUUGCUUCCGGUUCCUCCGCCAAAGAUUAAGCUCUCACAUAGGGGACAAAAUGCAAGGCUGCUUGAGUUACCUGCACCCCCAGAACUGGCUAACACCGCCAUUAGACAACCAGCGAGUCCUGCAUCUUCAGACAUUUCUGGAUGUUCUCGUCCAACGCCUCACCGUUCACCCACAAGGUCUGAAUCAACAGAAGCAUUUAGUCCAGAGUCUGCCAGAUCUAUGGAUCUUGCACACCUCAGCGUGGAGUUUGAAAGCCAUCACAGUCCGGGAGCAGAAAGAGUCGGGCAUCCUCAUCCAGUGUCCCAGCUCUCAAAGGUGGGAGGGAGAAACCAUAAAGACUGCGUCCAUAAAGUGAUGGAGAGGCUUUUCACCAACAAUCUAAUGGCUGGUUUCAACAUGAAGGGGCAGGGUCGCAGUGAGAAAAAAGCCUUCCAGGAUACAGUUUUUUACUCUUUGGUAAAAGGUAACUGCAUUUUUCAUGUUUAUACAGGUGCUUCUCAAAUUAGAAUAUUGAAAAAAGUCAAUUCAUUUUAGGAACUUAACAGGUGAGACCAAUGUAUUAGACUCAUUACAUGCAAAGUGAGACAUUUCAAGCCUUUAUUUGUUAUACAUUUGAUUAUGGCUUACAGCUUAUGAAACCCAC
rnacentral:lncRNA from 1 species